rnacentral:rRNA from 1 species
UCGAGCGGACAGAUGGGAGCUUGCUCCCUGAUGUUAGCGGCGGACGGGUGAGUAACACGUGGGUAACCUGCCUGUAAGGCUGGGAUAACUCCGGGAAACCGGGGCUAAUACCGGAUGCUUGAUUGAACCGCAUGGUUCAAUUAUAAAAGGUGGCUUUUAGCUACCACUUACAGAUGGACCCGCGGCGCAUUAGCUAGUUGGUGAGGUAACGGCUCACCAAGGCAACGAUGCGUAGCCGACCUGAGAGGGUGAUCGGCCACACUGGGACUGAGACACGGCCCAGACUCCUACGGGAGGCAGCAGUAGGGAAUCUUCCGCAAUGGACGAAAGUCUGACGGAGCAACGCCGCGUGAGUGAUGAAGGUUUUCGGAUCGUAAAACUCUGUUGUUAGGGAAGAACAAGUACCGUUCGAAUAGGGCGGUACCUUGACGGUACCUAACCAGAAAGCCACGGCUAACUACGUGCCAGCAGCCGCGGUAAUACGUAGGUGGCAAGCGUUGUCCGGAAUUAUUGGGCGUAAAGCGCGCGCAGGCGGUUUCUUAAGUCUGAUGUGAAAGCCCCCGGCUCAACCGGGGAGGGUCAUUGGAAACUGGGGAACUUGAGUGCAGAAGAGGAGAGUGGAAUUCCACGUGUAGCGGUGAAAUGCGUAGAGAUGUGGAGGAACACCAGUGGCGAAGGCGACUCUCUGGUCUGUAACUGACGCUGAGGCGCGAAAGCGUGGGGAGCGAACAGGAUUAGAUACCCUGGUAGUCCACGCCGUAAACGAUGAGUGCUAAGUGUUAGAGGGUUUCCGCCCUU